rnacentral:lncRNA from 1 species
UAGCACUCAAAAAGUGCAUACUGUGAACAAAUGUAUCCAGACCUUAAGGUGAGGUGGCUUAGGAAGGCUGGGCCUUGGAAGUGGCACAUCCACCUGGAGGCACUUGGAUCUACGACAUGACCAGAACUUGUGGCUUGGACAGGUGACAGCAAGAUGAGAAUUAAACAGGGCUUUGAGGGAUUGAACGGGCCAAGACAUACCCAGGCUGCCUUGAACAUGUGUGAGGCCUGGAACAAGAGAUCCAACAGAAGCCCACAUUCCUUAUGCUGGGAGGCAUCUCCUCACACCUGCCACUCCAGCCAGGUAACCUCUGCCCACCAGGCGUCUCCAGCACUGCCAACGUCUGCUGGCAUUACCU